rnacentral:rRNA from 1 species
AGUGAACGCUGGCGGUAGGCCUAACACAUGCAAGUCGAACGGCAGCACAGUAAGAGCUUGCUCUUACGGGUGGCGAGUGGCGGACGGGUGAGGAAUACAUCGGAAUCUACUUUUUCGUGGGGGAUAACGUAGGGAAACUUACGCUAAUACCGCAUACGACCUACGGGUGAAAGCAGGGGAUCUUCGGACCUUGCGCGAUUGAAUGAGCCGAUGUCGGAUUAGCUAGUUGGCGGGGUAAAGGCCCACCAAGGCGACGAUCCGUAGCUGGUCUGAGAGCAUGAUCAGCAACACUGGAACUGACACACGGACCAGACUCCUACGGGAGGCAGCAAUGGGGAAUAUUGCACAAUGGGCGCGAGCCUGAUCCAGCCAUACCGCGUGGGUGAAGAAGGCCUUCGGGUUGUAAAGCCCUUUUGUUGGGAAAGAAAAGCAGCAGGUUAAUACCCCGCUGUUCUGACGGUACCCAAAGAAUAAGCACCGGCUAACUUCGUG